rfam:Thermoanaerobacter tengcongensis MB4, complete genome.
GGUUGGCAAGUCUUAUGACUUGUUCAAGAACUUCGGGCUUCUUGGGUGGGAAGCU